rnacentral:rRNA from 1 species
GCAUGUCGAACGAAGCACUUGUGCUUAGUGGCGAAUGGGUGAGUAACACGUACUUAAUCUGCCCUCAAGUUUGGGACAACAGUUGGAAACGACUGCUAAUACCGAAUAUGUACUACUACCGCAUGGUAGUUUUAUAAAAGGAGCGUUUGCUUCGCUAGAGGAGGAGAGUGCGUCGGAUUAGUUAGUUGGUAGGGGAAAGGAGAAAAAAGACGAUGAGGCGUAGCGGGGUCGAGAGGCUGAAC